ACUCCCUGGCAGUGGGCAAAGAGACACCUGACUGGUGGUGUUGCUCUUAUAUCAGUCAGGGGCAAAAUAGUUGUACAGUCCUUUGUUCAUCCUAGCUUGAUGCCUGGGUUGGUGGCCAGAGCUGUUUCAUGCCUAGGGCACAGAA
ensembl:snoRNA